rnacentral:rRNA from 1 species
UACAGAGGUCCCAAGCGUUGUUCGGAUUCACUGGGCGUAAAGGGUGCGCAGGUGGGUUGGCAAGUUCGAUGUGAAAGCCCCGGGCUUAACCCGGGAAUGGCAUUGGAAACUGCUGAUCUGGAGGAUCGGAGGGGGGACUGGAAUUCUUGGUGUAGCAGUGAAAUGCGUAGAUAUCAAGAGGAACACCAGUGGCGAAGGCGAGUCCCUGGACGAUACCUGACACUGAGGCACGAAAGCCAAGGAGCAAACAGG